AGAGACUGCAAGCGUUACUCGGAUUCACUGGGCGUAAAGGGAGCGCAGGCGGACCGGUGUGUCAGAUGUGAAACCCCAGGGCUCAACCCUGGGACUGCGUCUGAAACUGCCGGUCUAGGGACUCGGAGGGGCUAGUGGAAUUCCUGGUGGAGCAGUGAAAUGCGUAGAUAUCAGGAGGAACACCAACGGCGAAGGCAGCUAGCUGGACGAGAUCCGACGCUCAGGCUCGAAAGUAUGGGGAGCAAAAAGG
rnacentral:rRNA from 1 species